AGAAAUACCAUUUCUAUCAAGCUCCUCACGUCUAAUUAUAUCUGCAGUCACAGGAGUUUUUGCUUGACCGCGUCUUGAACAGAUUACCUAAAAUUAUGAGUGAACUUUGAACAGGUCUGUGUAUUCACUUUCGACAGUAUUCAUUUGUUUUGUGCAAAUACUGUAAUGAUUAGGUUUUAUCUUGAACAUAGGUUUUAUCCUUCAUGUUACGGAUGGAUUAUAAUUAGUUUCGCUGGAGUGCUGUUGGAUACAAUCACAUGGGCUGUUAAUAAUCCCCAAGACCUGAUUCGGAUGAACUUUGCUCUGUAUGGCUGAUCUCAACAACUGGCUGACUAUUAACUUUUUUCAUUCUUGGAUGGUCUAAUUAGGGUAAUCUCCAGGUCUACCAAAACUGGAACACCUGAGGUGCGGGUGGUAUAUUGCCAAAACUGUGUGAAGGUUCCUCGGUUCUUUUUGCUCACCCCCUUUUUUUCUUCUUACCCAACGGACCUGUGAAGGUAGUCCCAGACAUUACCCAGAUGAGGAUCAAUUGAUCUCAUCAGCUACCCGACCUUUUCAAAAAGUUUUACAAGAAGAAGAUGAUCGGGCCAUAGUUUUCUUGCUCCCACUGGCAGAUUUUUUUUAUUUUUGUUUGUUAAUUUGAGCACAAAGGAAGGGAGAUGAAUGCUUGAAGAUGAAUAAAAUAUUUCCCUUCCUUGUUCCUCAAACCCAAGGAGAUGAGAUAUCAUAUGGGAAGUUUCUCUAUCUCCCUUGUUGCCAGGAAUGGGGAAACUGGUGGAGCAAGAUCUCAGAAAUAUAUUGUAGACGCUUCAGCAUCAUGAUUCGUCGUAUUCUGUCUCUUUCUGUUAAAUUCUAUAGGUUUCGACCUCUUGAUAAGUAUUGAAAUCCAUCUCAUUCACAAAUAGUUGACUUUAUCCUCGGGUCCCUGCACAACCUGGCAAUUCCUGUCAGCAGCUUGAGUAGGUGACCUACUGUUGAACAGUGGCAAAGGUCCUCUUCCUUCCUUUUCAGUCAAUUUCUUUCCAAUAAAGUUGCAGUGAUUCUCAUACAGAUGCAUUUUUUUCAUAAAUAAGAGCAGAAAUGUUCCCAGAGGUGAUUUCAAAUAUGAUUUUCCGGUUGAAUUCCAAUGAGCUUUCAUGAUCUUGUGCACUUUCUUUGUAAUUCCUUUCCUUUUAUUUCACCCACCGCUUGUAACAUCUGCUGCCGUUUUUACUUAAUUGUGGAUUAAUUGCCCUCAGUCAACGUCAAGCUGAAUUCUUUCUAACCACAGCACACUUCUUGCAUCUCCUCAUCAUUUCCUCUUCUAAUUUCUAUCUGUUUAUCCACCUGUUAUGAUUGCUCCAGGCCUCGUGUUUACAAUCAUAUCUAUUUAUGAUCAUAACAGCUUCACAAUCAUAAGUUUAUUAUAGCAAUGUCUCCAAUGAAAAUAAAUAAUCUAAAUAAGCGUCUGUACGGAUAAAAUCUACCAUCUGUAUCUUAGAUUCGUCUGUGAUAAUAUAUUUCCCUGCAUAGAUUGUCGUGCACUGGCUGGCCUGUGAGGGAGGAGCUUGAGCUCUCUCUUCCCUUAAGAUGCUCUCUGGCUACUCGGAAGAAGGGCCGUUUAAUGUCUUUUUAUGUAAAUUCGUCUUUAUCAUAAAAAAUAGGGUUCUAAGUGGAGCAUUAUUGUAUGAGAAAUUCGAUUAAAGUUCGAUAUUAUUAUUAUUAUUAUUAUUAUAGGGUUCUAACGGGAAAUUCCGUUCAUAAAUCAAAUGUAUUUCUUCACCGAAUUCUGGGUUUUAUAAAAACCAAUGGCCGCAUGAACACGGAUC
rnacentral:lncRNA from 1 species